GGAUAUAUUGGAUAAGUGCCUGAAAAGCGAGCGCCGAAAAGCGACGCCGGAGGGAACCGAACCUUGAAAAUAUUAUAGUUUGAAAGCCAGUAUAAAACAAUAGCCUGCGUCAGAAAAGAAUCAACCAGGCUGAGGUUAAAAAACAGCAAAAGAGCUAAAAGCAAACAAACC
rnacentral:misc_RNA from 3 species